GACGAACGCUGGCGGCGUGCUUAACACAUGCAAGUCGAACGGAAAGGCCCUGCGUUUGUGGGGUGCUCGAGUGGCGAACGGGUGAGUAAAACGUGAGUAACCUGCCCCUGAAAUUGGGAUAACUUCAGGGAAAUGGGGAUAAUACCGGAUAGGAGCUACUGCUGCAUGGUGGGGGAUGGAAAGUUUCGGCGGUUGGGGCUGGACUCGCGGCUUAUCAGCUUGUUGGUGGGGUAGUGGCUUACCAAGGCUUUGACGGGUAGCCGGCCUGAGAGGGUGACCGGCCACAUUGGGACUGAGAGACGGCCCAGACUCCUACGGGACGCAGCAGUGGGGAAUAUUGCACAAUGGGCGGACGCCUGAUGCAGCAACGCCGCGUGCGGGAUGACGGCCUUCGGGUUGUAAACCGCUUUCGCCGGUGCCGAAGCGUGAGUGACGGUAAUGGGUAAAGAAGCACCGGCUAACUACGUG
rnacentral:rRNA from 1 species